UACAUUUUUGCAGAAGUUUCUAAAUAAGAGAUUAUGACUGCAUUUUACAGGUAUUAAAGCUUAUUAAAUUUUUCUUGUAAUCAGUGAGGGAUGCAUUUAAACAGAUUUUUUUUUAAUUUGUGAUUUAGAUCACUUUGUAAAUUUAGUUCUAAUCUUUAAAGAUGAGCUUCUAAACUUAAAAACUUUAAAACCACAUCUCAUUACACUGGUUUACUUAUCUCAACUUUCAAGCAAUUCUUUCUGCAAUCAACUUUUUUAAGAACCCCCAGAAAAGAUAGUCUUUUUUUUCUUUCUUGUUACAUCUAGGGGCAGAGAAAUACCCCCAAAUGAAAUUCCUUGAUGGAGAGGACCUUAGAAGGACAGAAUAUGCUACUAAAAUGUCAAAUUCUAGCAAAACUUUAUAGUAGGAGCAGUCCUUUAAGAUGUCAUGUUCACUAUAU